UACGUAGGGUGCAAGCGUUACUCGGAAUUACUGGGCGUAAAGCGUGCGCAGGCGGUUUUGUAAGUCUGUCGCGAAAUCCCCGGGCUCAACCUGGGAAUUGCGAUGGAGACUGCAAGGCUAGAAUCUGGCAGAGGGGGGUAGAAUUCCACGUGUAGCAGCGAAAUGCGUAGAGAUGUGGAGGAACACCGAUGGCGAAGGCAGCCCCCUGGGUCAAGAUUGACGCUCAUGCACGAAAGCGUGGGGAGCAAACAGG
rnacentral:rRNA from 1 species